rnacentral:rRNA from 1 species
AUUGAACGCUGGCGGCAUGCCUUACACAUGCAAGUCGAACGGUAACGGGCCUUCGGGUGCCGACGAGUGUCGAACGGGUGAGUAAUACAUCGGAACGUGCCCGAUCGUGGGGGAUAACGAGGCGAAAGCUUUGCUAAUACCGCAUACGAUCUACGGAUGAAAGCAGGGGACCGCAAGGCCUUGCGCGGACGGAGCGGCCGAUGGCAGAUUAGGUAGUUGGUGGGAUAAAAGCUUACCAAGCCGACGAUCUGUAGCUGGUCUGAGAGGAUGAUCAGCCACACUGGGACUGAGACACGGCCCAGACUCCUACGGGAGGCAGCAGUGGGGAAUUUUGGACAAUGGGCGCAAGCCUGAUCCAGCCAUGCCGCGUGCAGGAUGAAGGCCUUCGGGUUGUAAACUGCUUUUGUACGGAACGAAAAGCCUUCUUUUAAUACAGGAGGGUCAUGACGGUACCGUAAGAAUAAGCACCGGCUAACUACGUG